rnacentral:snoRNA from 1 species
CACGAUGAGGUGUCGUGAUAUUUCUUUCUGGACGUGAAUCUGAUGGAGAGUAAUGAGUAAAAUCAUCUGCUCUCUGUUGUUGAUGAGCGUUCCUGCUGUGUUUCACAGUCUGGAGGAAAGAAGUAUGAUCAGAGUG